rnacentral:rRNA from 1 species
UACGUAGGGGGCUAGCGUUGUCCGGAAUCACUGGGCAUAAAGCGCACGUAGGCGGCCAAGUCAGUCGGUUGUGAAAGCCCUCGGCUCAACCGAGGAAGUGCUACCGAUACUGCUUGGCUUGAGGUCCGGAGGGGAGAGUGGAAUUCCCGGUGUAGCGGUGAAAUGCGCAGAUAUCGGGAGGAACACCAAUGGCGAAGGCAGCUCGCUGGGACGGUACUGACGCUGAGACGCGAAAGCGUGGGGAGCGAACGGG